rnacentral:tRNA from 1 species
GCCGAAGUGGUGGAACUGGCAGACGCGCUGGACUCAAAAUCCAGUGGGCUAAUUACCCGUGCGGGUUCGAUUCCCGCCUCCGGCA